GCGUGGAAUGGUCUGUCUGGUUAAUUCCGAUAACGCACGAGACCUCAGCCGAUAGUUUACGGGUUUGCCGUUCCUCCGGGGACGACGAACGGGUCACCGUGUUUACCAUCGGUGAGCACGACGGCCCUUACCGAACACAACCUAUCGGGAUCGCACGCGUCUCAUACACUAGCGUGAUGAAAGGUGAGGCUAUAACA
rnacentral:rRNA from 1 species